GACGAACGCUGGCGGCGUGCUUAACACAUGCAAGUCGAGCGGUAAGGCCCUUUCGGGGGGUACACGAGCGGCGAACGGGUGAGUAACACGUGGGUGACCUGCCCUCAGCUCUGGGAUAAGCCUGGGAAACCGGGUCUAAUACCGGAUAUGACUCCAUGACGCAUGGUUGUGGGGUGGAAAGCCUUGUGCGGCUGAGGAUGGGCCCGNGGCCUAUCAGCUUGUUGGNGGGGUGAUGGCCUACCCAAGGCGACGACGGGUAGCCGGCCUGAGAGGGCGACGGCCGACACUGGGACUGAGACACGGCCCAGACUCCUACGGGAGGC
rnacentral:rRNA from 1 species